rnacentral:snoRNA from 1 species
CGCAUCCUUCCAAUAUGAUGAGAUACAUAUCUACCCAAACAGCUUCAUAGGAAGAGCCGGAAGAGGUAUGCUUGUCAAGUUGCGCAGGGACCUGGUAUCGUCAAAUACUUGGCCGCUUUUCGCUUCUCACAUGCAUCGAUGCUUAGGAUAUGGGAAUCUGA